AAAAUGUAACGGGGCUGAAGCCAUGCACCGAAGCUGAGGAUACGUCGUAAGACGUGUGGUAGCGGAGCGUUCCGUAAGCCAGUGAAGGGAUACCCGUGAGGGGUCCUGGAGGUAUCGGAAGUGCGAAUGUUGACAUGAGUAACGAUAAAGAGGGUGAGAGACCCUCUCGCCGAAAGACCAAGGGUUCCUGCUUAAAGUUAAUCUGAGCAGGGUUAGCCGGCCCCUAAGACGAGGCGGACACGCGUAGUCGAUGGGAACCACGUUAAUAUUCGUGGGCCUGGUGGUAGUGACGGAUUGCUCAACUUGUCCGGACUUAUUGGAUUGUCCGGGCGGGGACGCGGUUCCAGGAAAUAGCUCCACCGUAUAGACCGUACCCGAAACCGACACAGGUGGUCAGGUAGAGUAUACCAAGGCGCUUGAGAGAACUAUGUUGAAGGAACUCGGCAAAUUGCACGCGUAACUUCGGAAGAAGCGUGACCCUUUUCUACGCAAGUAGGAUGGGGUGGCACAGACCAGGGGGUAGCGACUGUUUAUCAAAAACACAGGGCUCUGCGAAGUCUCAAGACGACGUAUAGGGUCUGACGCCUGCCCGGUGCUGGAAGGUUAAGAGGAGGGGUGCAAGCUCUGAAUCGAAGCCCCAGUAAACGGCGGCCGUAACUAUAACGGUUCCUAAG
rnacentral:rRNA from 1 species